rnacentral:rRNA from 1 species
CUGGCGGCGCGCUUAAGCAUGCAAGUCGAACGGCAAGAGGUAGCAAUACCUCCUAGAGUGGCGGACUGGUGAGUAACACGUGGGUGACAUACCCUUCAGAUGGGGAUAGCUAUUAGAAAUAGUAGAUAAUACCGAAUACGAGCACAGGGGUUAGAGAUCUGUGAGGAAAGGAGCUAAGGCUCCGCUGAAGGAAUGGCCUGCGGCCCAUUAGCUAGUUGGUGAGGUAAGAGCCCACCAAGGCGAUGAUGGGUAUCCGGCCUUAGAGGGUGAACGGACACAUUGGGACUGAGAUACGGCCCAGACUCCUACGGGAGGCAGCAGCUAAGAAUAUUCCGCAAUGGACGAAAGUCUGACGGAGCGACGCCGCGUGGAUGAAAGAAGGCCGGAAGGUUGUAAAAUCCUUUUGAAACUGAAGAGUAAGCGUUGUAGGGAAUGACAGCGUGGUGACAGUAGGUUUUGAAUAAGCAACGGCUAAUUACGUGCCAGCAGCAGC